GAUGAACGCUGACAGAAUGCUUAACACAUGCAAGUCGAUGGGGAAGUGGUGCUUGCACCAUGGCAACCAUGGCGGACGGGUGAGUAACGCGUAAGGGACUUACCUGCAGGACUGGGAUAACAGGGGGAAACUCCUGAGAAGACCGGAUAAUGUCAUGGAGCUGCAUGGCUUUAUGAUGAAAGGAGACGCCUGCGGAGAGCCUUGCGUCCUAUUAGCUAGUUGGUGAGGUAAUGGCUCACCAAGGCGAAGAUAGGUAGCCGGCCUGAGAGGGUGGACGGCCACAAGGGGACUGAGAUACGGCCCUUACUCCUACGGGAGGCAGCAGUGGGGAAUAUUGGACAAUGGGGGCAACCCUGAUCCAGCAAUUCUGUGUGCACGAAGAAGGUUUUCGGAUUGUAAAGUGCUUUCAGCAGGGAAGAAGUAAGUGACGGUACCUGCAGAAGAAGCGACGGCUAAAUACGUG
rnacentral:rRNA from 1 species